GCUGCCAGCCUUCCCCCGCCCGGUGCCAGGCUGCCCCCUGCGGGUCUCGCCGCCCACCGCCGGCAGUGCUCCAGUGCCGGCAGAGGGGUGCUAGCCGCCGCCGCUGCUGCUCUGCCCCGGGCUCAGCGGCAGCUGCAGUGACUGUGUGUCUGUGUCAUGUCUGUGCAUGGGCGGGAGGAGGCGCGGCGCCGAGGCGGAGCCAGCCCGCUGACACACCGCCCAGCGACAGGCAACGAGCGCCCAACCAGCGGCAGCCGCGCACCGAGCGGCGCCCCCGGGCCGCUACACCUGGGUCGGGCCGGGUCGGGCCAGGCCGGAGCGGGAGGGGCGGAGAGGGGCGAGCCGACCCCGCGCCUCAGCGUGCGUGCGAUGCUGAGGGAAGUGUCUAAAGCGCUAUGGGAAGCACAAGCAGGACAGAAAUCCCAGGAGGGGAGCCAGUGUGAAUGCAGUUCUGAAGACAUUGAUCCCCUCCUAGGAUGGAAGAGGAAGGAAAGUAGGCACGUGCUUUGGGUAACAAUGUAAGUAAUCAGAAGCAGGAAUAACAGGGAUGCUGUUCAGUGCUUAUUGCUUUCUUUUUCCAGAAUUCCAGGAAGAAUUCUUUUAGAAAAGAAUGUCGUUCUGUUUCAGAUACCACAGAUGCUAAUUUCUCCUGUUCCAUCAACCGUUUAAAUGCUGUAAUCAAUACAGAACUUACGUUUUGCAGUACACUCUACCAAAAUACCAUGAACUCAGGAGCAGAUUAUUCAUGGGAAGAUAGCGUUUGCCAGACUCGAUUAAGGUUUUGGUCCAUCAACCGCAGUGCUCUGCCGCCAGUCAUGCCCACUGCCCGAUGCUUCAGUCAGGAGUGGUAUCAGAUGAACUGCAGCAAAUCAUGAAGUUGAACAUGUCAAUGAUAUCACAUAAGUGUUACUGACUGCAAAUUGACAUAUUAUGACAACUGGAAGAGCAUUUAGGGGAAAAAAAAAAAGGAGAAUUCAUAGAAUAGCUUGAGUUGAGAAGGAUCUUUAAAGGCCAUCUGGUCCACCUCCCCUGCAACGAACAGGGACACCUACACCUAGAUCAGAGUGCUCAGAGCCCCUCCAGCCCAACUUUGAAUGUCUCAAGGGACAGGGCAUCCACCACCUCUCUGGGUAACCUGUGCCCAUGCCUCAUCACCCUUGCUGAAAAAAACGUCUGCCUUAUAUUCAAUCUAAAUCUCCCCUCUUUUAGUUUGAAACCAUUUCCCUUUGUUAUAUCAGUUCAGAUCUGAAUGAUAUUCUGGAGAAGCUAUGGUAACGUACCGGUCAGUCUCUAUAGUUUUCGUGAGUAAAUCAAAGUCAGAAAUGAGCUAUACUGCCGUGUGUUAUUCUGUCCAUUCACUUCAGUAAAGCAAAAGGAUCCCUAUCAUGUAAUAACAUGUCUUUAUCUUUUCUUGCACUAGUGAAGGUUUGCAACUGCUUUGGUGACAAUCAUGAUGAAAGAAUUUCUGGGGAUGUAUGGAGGAGGAAACAAGACUGUAUGUACGGUUUCAUUAUUAAGAAAGCCAUGUUGUCUACUGCCUAUCACUGGAAGUUUGAGCAGAUUCAUAUUUUUAAGCCUCAUGCUGUGUCUUAAAGAUUUGUGAAUUGUCAGUCUGAUCCUACAUCAUAUUGAACAAUUUCUACAGGUUCUUAAUGUUCUCGUCUCCUGUUAGAGCAGGGAAAUCUCAGCACCCGCAAAAAUUCUUAGGUUUUAAGAGUGGCAUGGAUUAAUAGGAUUAGCUAAUGUACCACCAUACAUGACAAAUGAUGAAACUUCAUACUGCAGCCAAGUAUCUUACUUGGCUUACUUGAAAUUGCUCAGCACCUGUCAGGUUGCUGUCCUACACAAAAUGGAGAACAGUUGUUGAAACCCAUGGCAGCAUUAGUCAGACUCUGGCUGAGAGUGAUUACCACCAGGUUACAAAAACUAAUGGGUGGGAGGAGCAGCUACCUAUGAAGAGAGAGGGUUUUUUUUUAAAUUGUGUUUAUAAGUGAGUAAUCUUUUAAAAUUCAUCAUAAAAACACUCCAUUUGACUUUGUUCUUGAAGACCUGAAGGAGCAAUUGCUUUGGACAUGGAGUAAACAGCUGAUGCAGAAGGGUCUGUAUGCCCAGGAAAUCUUAAAAUAAAUUUAAAAAAAAAAAAAAAAACUGCAAACAUUUAAAUUUCAAAUUUCAUUUAGCCAGAAAGAAGCUUUCUCCAGAAGCUACACGGUUCUGGAGCAGGAGGUCUCCUCACAUUUUUUAAAAAAGUAAAACCUGUAGUAAUGUCAAGUAUAUAUUUUGUAAAAAUGAACAGUUAUGUUAGGUUGCAAAUCUCAAAGCUUUAACAGUCAUAUUAAUCAAAAAUAUAUAAACCAGACUUUUUUUUUUUUAAAUAGGAACAUGUCUAUUUUGAGAUUAUAAAAGUUUUUUUAAAAAAAUUGUAGGGAUUACCUCUAAUGUGCAUUACAUUAAAUUAUACUGCGAUAGAAUUAUCACACAAGUGUUUGAGCUUUUUUUUUUCCUUACUAGAACAAGAGAUAAAGGCAUAACAGUGCACACAUUCAAACAGGUUAUAGUAUUUUCACAAUAGUAAAACAUGACUGAGUGCAGUAGGACUAACUCUGUUCAUAAGACCCUGAUCAUUUGCAGAUUAGCUGAGUUUAGAUGAGAAGAACAAAAUUAUUCCCAGUAUAACCAUUUUAUGUGAAAGGAAGGAGGGGUCUAAGGCCCAUAAAUAUUCAAGCUAAGAACAUACAUGGAGUUCAUCUCCUAUUUAGACCAAUGAAGUCUUUUUUACAUUCUUACAGUUGCUUCAUUGUUCUAGAUGAAGUCAACCAGUAUGAGCUCUUUUGAGAAAAAAGACUGUGCUUUGUUCAUCAAGUGACAUACAAAUGCUUUACCGCUUUAUUAGUGCAUUACUUGCUAGCUUCAAUAGUAGCUAAAAUAUUCUUGAAAACUAGAAAGGUGUCUCUGCCCAAAUUCCUCCACAAACACUCCUGAGUUCAAUGAACGUUUCAAAUACAUGGUAAGACUGGUGCUGCUGCAUCACACUCAAGGUUUUGGAUGUGUGUGGACAAAACAAAGUUCUCCAUGAGCUGCUUUUGUGUGGAGUUAGUGAAAUAGCUACUUUUGCAUAGAAAUUAACCAUUCAGGGUAUUGUCGCAGGGAACAGAAGGCUGGCUGGAUUGUAUUAACUAAUGCACUUCAACACAUAGGGUUGGGUCUCUUUGUUUAUAAUCAUCACUCUUGACUUCUAGAUGUGAAAUUGCACAACCAUUAAUGAUAUCAGAGUACAAAGAGCAAGACUAAGACUAGAAGUUUGAAGCAAGCCCCAGUCUGUGAGAUUCUUAUUAUCAUCUGCUGCUACAGUGAACACCAGGCUACUGAAGGACUGGUUGCCCAACACCUCUUGUAGUAGGAAAGGUCUUUUAGACAGGAAACAACUAAGAUAUAAUCUUCUCUGGAAAAAUAAAUGUCUAGUUCUUGAGUGUAAAAUGGAAACUCCAUUACAUAAGCUCUCCCUCCUGGACACUAAAUUAAAGUUUAAUUCAGAAUUUCCUGUGCACAUAACAAAAAAACACAACAAAACAAACAAACAAACAAAAAACACCACCCCCCCAAAAAAAAGCCUGAACAAAACCCAGAGUCCUUGUGGCUGUAAUAACUGGGGAAAAAAAAUCACCCAGUUAAAAUUCAUGCCUUUAAGUGAAUAGAAAGCAUCAUGAAAACCUAAAACAUUUAGAAUUCAAAGAAAAAUAAAUUAUUAAACAAAAAUGUUUGUCUUCUAUGCCAAAGUCAAUUUCUGACAAUAAACUGAAUAUUCUGUGAUAAAUUAUGUUAAAUUUCAUACAGGCUUCUCCUGGAAUUCAGUUGUGCUUCUGACCCAAAAAGGAAAAGGUAAACAUCUUUACUGGCAUCUUAGGUAAGUGCACAAUGCUUCAGUCUAAGAAAAGAUGAAGGAGACGGGUAUCUUCCUCUGUUUGUUUACUUUGUACAUCACAGAACUGUUUAUAGAUUUUCUGUUUUACUGUUACUGCCAGUUACUAAUUUCCCUUUGUUAUGACUUAAUUAAGAGGAGAACAGUUGUUUUUGUUGUUGUUGUUGUUGUUGUUUGCUUGGUUUUGAUCUGUUUUGUUUUUAAAGGAAGGAAUAGUGCUUUUAAAACCAUAACAAAUAGUGGUAAGAAGUGGAAGAGUAAGUAUGUACAACUUUAAUUUUAUGAAGUUAAUCUAAUUUGACAGUAUUUUUUUAAGUUGGGGUCUACCAAGAUGGUCAAGUCAAUUCUGCAUUGCUACUUAUUGAUCACUGUUUUACUAAUCUGUCACAUACAACUCAGAAAAGAUUUUGGUUUUUACUCCAUAAAGUUAACACCAAUGUUUCCAGAUGUCUCAGUAAUGCGUAAAUGCAUCCUAUAAAAUGAGUAAUAAGUGCGGUGUUCAAAGUGAUAUGAUUUUGGCUUGUGGCUUUUUUGUUGUUGUUGUUUUUGUUUUGUUUCUGAUGGAGUCUUCACACUUAAGUUCUGGAUAAUGUACAAUAGCUUUAUUUGUCUAUAUUAACAUAUAUCCUUCAAUUUACAGAAACUUCUAGUAAAGAAAAGUGACACUGGACAAACUUUGAAGUAACUUUAAACUUGCUUAGCUAGGAAGAUGAGAUUGACCCGAAUACUCUUAAAGCCUAAAUCAAGGAGAGAGAAAACAGAAAUCUCCUUCAGCUUUCAAAACUUCAUCCGUCUCCUGAGAAUCAAAUCUUCUGCUGGCAGAUGUCAGCAGGCAGCACCAGAACCAUACUGUAUUCCUGAAGGAUCUGCUCUUCAACACCUGACUGCCACUACUUGAGUGUCAAAGUCACAGAUAACUCUCAGCAUUACUUGAGGGCAAUUCAAAUUCCCUUGGGGCCUUGUAUGAUGUUGUCAACCUGACUGGGUAGUAAAGCAGACCAGACCAUCACUUCUGCAGACAUUCCCGAUGAACCACACCAGCAGUACACUGGCUGUUUAAAUCCUGGAGGAAGGACAGCAUUAAGCAAACCAAACACAAAUGACAGUACUGAGUGGACUUGAAAUGCACUGUGAGCAAAGGGAAAGGAACCUAAGAGAGUUGCAUCAUGUAGUUAAUACUGUUUAGGUGAAACUAACACAAUAGUACACCAGGCUGGAAUGUAAGUGGUGGAAAUGUGGGUGCAAAUGUCUUUUUGGCUGUUUAAGUUAAGGCUGUUAAUGUGAAAAAUUGCAUAGUUUCUAAUUGGAAUGCAUGUUGAAAACUCUGCAUCAUAAAAAUGGAAAAUAGAAUCUGAACAUGCUGCGUAUCAUGAAUCUGACUGAACAGGACUCAGAGAAGAAAUUAUAAGUGUGUUUUAGCAGUCACUGCAAAUUAUCUCAUGGGUUCUUUAUGUAUACGUGUUUUUGUGAUGUCAAGCUGCAGGAGCUUAGGAGUUUUGUAGAGCUUAUUGCAAGUGCUGUGGCUCAGUAGAUGUCUGAGACUUUUUUCAGCAAGACUGAAAAUCCCAUCUUUGUCCACGGUAAGUUACCAUAGACUAUGGGUGCUGAGACCACAACUCUGAAAAGGUUGUGCAGACAUGCUCAACACUGCAUGCUGCAAGUUGUCCUAGAGAAAACAAGAAGGUUUUUACAGGAAUGUGAAGGCCUUUGCAAAAGACCAGCCCCAGAUGUGGACAAAAUGGGAUGCAGUCUAGAACAGCAAAAUGGCUGUGGUCCAGCAGGCUACUUUGUCUAUGCCGGAGCUGCAGUAAACCAGAUUGGCUCGUAUUACUGCAGUUGUCACCAGAGUGCAGACAAGAUGUCUGGUGUGAUGUCUGUCUGCUGCUGGGAUUGAGAGUCCUCUCCAGCAGUGCUGUAUCUAGCAACAUGCUACCCACCCUCACGGAAGUACUGGAGUUGACCACUACUUCACCACAUGGUCUCAUUCUUUUCCCUUGGCAACAGCAGCCCCAUCCUGAGUCCCUCAGCUUUGAGGCAGAAACAUUGCGUUUUGCAUGUGUUGAGAUUGUUGAGCUGGCUGUGCUUUGUAGGAGUGGGUCUUACAUAUAUACCAUAAAUUCACACUGAUUAAAUAUAACUGUCCUGUUCAACUCCUUGGUAAGUUUUGUUGAACGAACAAACAAAGAUAGCUUUUAAAGGGAAUUGGAAUGGUGGAAGGCAACAAAAUCCAGGACAAUACAGUAGCAAAAUAUGGGUGGAAAUCAAAUGUGCAUGCACCAUUUCUCAUAAUUAGAGAUUCUUUGGUAGUAUCACUACACUUGCACACUUACAUGCCUUUUUUUUUUUUAACUCUAAGAAAAAAUGUGCUAAGUUCUACCGACAAAUAGUACCUAAAGGUGUUACUCUUAAGUAGUUAGGAACAAGAGACAAGUGAUGUCGUACACUGCUAUUCAUAUACCACACAACUAAACUCACCAGCUUUCUAAGCGGAACAAUCAAAACAACAUUCUCUCCCCUGCCCAGAGUAGACAGAUCCACAAAUUCUACAAACCUCACAUUUCCACAAAAUACGGGUCUCACUGUGUUCCAAAUCGUGAGACUUGGUGACUGAGUGAUGCAGAAUUACACUAAAAGUGUAGCUGAGGUACAUCUCAUCAGGCUCUGAAUCUCUCCACUGAUUUUUGGCAGGAAUUUGCUCUAUUCCCUUAUACUUACUAGACCCUUUGUUCGAAAGGAGAACUAAACAGUCAGAAUUGAUUAUCACAUAAUUGUUUCAAAGGAAACCAAAAGAUGCUGUAGUUAAGAAGAAGUAAUUAGGUAGAAUCUAGUACUUUUUGAAAACAUUGCUCUGGGGAAUAAGUCCUAAAGUAAUAAUUCAUGUGAAAUACAUAGCAAGUGCUCUGUUCAGAGGGGGAGAAAAGAAAAGCAACCUGAGUUAUGCACUUCUAUAGCUGUAAGAGUCUCUCAAAAAUUGUGAUUUUUCAUAUGUUUCUGGAUCCCCUUGUUUUGUUAAAGCAGAAAUUCACAGAUGCAAGUGGAUAGUAGGAGGGAGUAAAAGGUAGCCAGCUUGAAGAACAGUUGUGGAACACAGGCAAGACACUGGUUUCACUGUGUUUUUUUUUUCCUAAAUGAUUUGUGUUGGUGUGGUUUGCAUUCUGAAAGCUUUAGCUCCCUGUUAAUGCAGAUUCUCAUCGAGGAUUAUAUACAUUUAAAUCCUUGUACUGUUGUAAGCAAUGAACAUUAGCAACCUUUAUUUACACUGCUGUUCUAUAAAAAGCAGGGGGGAUGCUGAAAAGAGGAUAUUUUCCUUUGGCCAAAGGACACAACCUGAUUAGAAUAUUAUAUAACAUUAAUACUCAUUUGGCAUCUUUUUUGAGGCAGAUCUAGAAAAUCAACACCUAAGAUGGUGGUGGCAGCUGCAUGCUGGAAAAAAUGAAAUCGCCUGUCUGAGGACUUUUUAAUGAGUUGUUCAGAACUGAUUGGUAAGGUUAGCUGAGAAGGAGCACAUAGGAGGUGAAGAAGAAUGGCUGCCAACACUGCAAGAAUCCCUGUUCCUUCCCUUACAGUUACGACAGUAAGGGAAUAUUGCAGCCAUAAGCAGGGAUAGGUUGGAGGAGGACCAGGAAUACUGACAGAUACUCCCAACCUCUGCCAGAGGCCAGGUACCCAAGUUUCAUGUAAGCACUCGGAAAAGGAAUUAGGCGCUACUGAAGAAGCAGCCAACUCAAAACAGUUCUAUGGUGGAGCUUAAGCCAGGAACCAAGGCCAGCCUCCACAUAGGCAGGGCAGUGAAUCCACUGACCCAAGUGCAGUCCCUCAUGACUUGGCAACAUGAGCAAAGACAGAUUCAGUGACAAUCCUAGAUAAGGCACUGUGAAGAACCAGCUCCACAGUCCAGUCAGGCAGCCUCGUCAGGAGCAGAGGGUGCUGCAGCUUGGGGCUACUGUACAAACCUCAGGUUCAGCCAAAGACAGAAGCAAGCACAGAUAUAACUAUCACAUAAUUCAGAGCAGAAGUAGGUGCCCAGAUGUGAACUUGAAUAUCACUGGAACAUAGAGUGGGCAGGGACCCAAAUGAGGCAGGUUUGGGAAAUUAAGACCUGUUAAUGUACCCAGGACUUCGAGGAGAAGGAAAAGAAGGCUUGCAGAGGAAGCAUUAGGAGUAUGUGAAAGAUUGCAGCAUGGUGAAAAAAAGUCUGAGAUGGAAAAUGGAGCCAAAAAAAAAGAAAAAAAAAAAAGAAGGAAAGAAGAGACUAUGCUGUUCUGUUCUGGAGAACUGAAGGAAGUCAUUAAACUGAAAUCUGGGAGAAGAUCGUAGAGAUCUAGAAAGGAAGACUAAAACAAUCUUCUGAAUUACAGCCCAUAGACCAUCUAGUGCUCUGAAUGAGUCAACAAAUCUCUUAGGAUUUGUGGAACCCUCCGAAUACCUCUCGUUAAAUUUGUAACCUCUCCUAUGGAAAUGCAUUUCACUUUCUGUAACACUCAAGGGGCUUGCAACUAGAAACAGUAAUUACUGAGCCCAGCUGUCCCAUCAGUAACCAACUUGAGUAGAAUGACCAGUGAAUGUGACAACAGGCAGUGGAACGUUAAUGAGUAAAAUAAUGAUAAUCCUAUAGAUGUUAAAUUGGAAUGACAAAGCAGCCAUGUUGGCCCUUUCUCACUCUGAGCUUGUGCAUCAAAGAGGUAUAGUCAGUGAGUUUCCGGAUUGUUACAUAGCGAAGCAAAAACAGAGGGAGAAGGGCUGAGCCUGUCUGUGAUCUGAUCUUUACCAUAAAAAGGGGAGGAUAUUUUAUGAACUGUCACUCUGAGUACAAAUAAAUGUAGAAUUUAAGAAAGAACUGAUGUAUUUGAUUUAUAAAUAAAGUGUAGAGAAUAAUC